AACGAACGCUGGCGGCAGGCUUAACACAUGCAAGUCGAGCGGGCCCUUCGGGGUCAGCGGCAGACGGGUGAGUAACACGUGGGAACGUACCUUUUGGUUCGGAACAACUCCGGGAAACUGGAGCUAAUACCGGAUAAGCCCUUAGGGGGAAAGAUUUAUCGCCAAACGAUCGGCCCGCGUCUGAUUAGCUAGUUGGUGGGGUAACGGCCCACCAAGGCGACGAUCAGUAGCUGGUCUGAGAGGAUGAUCAGCCACACUGGGACUGAGACACGGCCCAGACUCCUAUGGGAGGCAGCAGUGGGGAAUAUUGGACAAUGGGCGCAAGCCUGAUCCAGCCAUGCCGCGUGAGUGAUGAAGGCCUUAGGGUUGUAAAGCUCUUUUGUCCGGGAAGAUAAUGACUGUACCGGAAGAAUAAGCCCCGGCUAACUUCGUG
rnacentral:rRNA from 1 species